CUUGCUACUUUGCCGGCGAGCGGCGGACGGGUGAGUAAUGCUUGGGAACUUGCCUUUAGGAGGGGGAUAACCACGGGAAACUGUGGCUAAUACCGCAUAAUGUCUACGGACCAAAGCAGGGGAUCUUCGGACCUUGCACCUAGAGAUAGGCCCAAGUGAGAUUAGCUAGUUGGUGGGGUAAAGGCCCACCAAGGCGACGAUCUCUAGCUGUUCUGAGAGGAUGAUCAGCCACACUGGGACUGAGACACGGCCCAGACUCCUACGGGAGGCAGCAGUGGGGAAUAUUGCACAAUGGGGGAAACCCUGAUGCAGCCAUGCCGCGUGUGUGAAGAAGGCCUUCGGGUUGUAAAGCACUUUCAGUGGUGAGGAAGGCUUGUAGAUUAAUACUCUACAAGAUUGACGUUAGCCACAGAAGAAGCACCGGCUAACUC
rnacentral:rRNA from 2 species